rnacentral:rRNA from 1 species
AUGGAGUCCGACAUGGAGGUGAGCUUGGAUUUCUCUUGGGAGACGCCUAGCUUCUUCGAGCUCUGCGACGCUGAUAGCAUGCACCUUCCGGCUGAGGACUCUCUGUCAUGUCUGUACGAGGACUCGAUGAGCUCGCCGGAGGGCGCCAGCUCGGGGCUGACGAGGAGGUGGGCUGGCAGGAACAUGCUCAACGAGAGGGACAGGCGCAUGAGGCUCAACGAGAAGCUCUACGCCAUUCGCGGCGUCGUUCCAAACAUCACUAAGAUGGACAAGGCCUCCAUCAUCCAGGACGCCAUCGCCUACAUCGAGGAGCUGCAGGAGCAGGAGCGCCAGAUUCUCGCCGCCCCCCGAACCGACGGCGGCGCCGCCGUGGUCCAGGCGGAUUCGACCGUGGACGACGGCAUCGGCUCCCCGCCACGGAAGAUUAGGAGGACUACCUCCGCCUCCUCCAUGUGUUCCCCGCCACGGAAGAUUAGGAGGACUACCCCUGCCACGCAUCCCGUCCAAAUCCUCGAGCUGGAGGUGACGCAGGUGGCGGAGGAUCUGGCAGUGGUUAACGUGAGACAUAGAAAAGUGCAGGAGGCCAUGGCGAAGGUGUAUGGGGUGCUCGAGUCGCUCUGUCUCAAUGUCAUCACGGCAAGUGUGACCGUCGUGGCCGACAACAUUGUCCACAACAUGUUCAUCGAGACGGAUGGAAUUGAUUGUGCUCAAACGAUCAAGGAGAUGGUACAGUCUCACUCGGUCAUCUCAAUGUGA